CGACUUUAGAAAUCGUGAGGGUUCAAGUCCCUCUAUCCCCAAUAAAAA
rnacentral:tRNA from 1 species